UGGAUGAGGCUCACCCCGGCGGGGAGAAGGGACGAGGAGGGGCGGACAGCGGAAGGUCCGGGAGUGUCCGCCAUAAAGUCGUUUGAGGUGACCGUUGCGUAAUUGUGAGUCUGUGAGAGAAGAUGUGAAGUAUGGCCUCGUCCCGGUCAUCUGGGCGUGCGGGUCCCGGGUUUUGAUCGCGCGUUUGUCUGAGUCAUUGAAAGCAGCCAGCUACAAACAGACACAUUCCAGGCAGUGGAGAAAGAGGAGAAAAAUGCCCCCUAACUUCUCAUCAGAAAAACAAAGGCCUAAUGAAAAUGGAAAGUUGUCUUUAAAGUGCUGAAGGGGGAAAAAAAACCUUCAUGCUAAAUAUGCUUCACGUAUGAGGAUGAACUCAAGUUUUAACUUCUAGUCAUGGCGAAUGAUCGCAGGAGAGCACAGACUGGACCCUGCUACGAUCUCUCUUGGAGUGGAUCAGACUGAUGAUCACCAACAACCAACUCAUUCCCGGAUAAGGAAGAAGAGAGUGUCACCUACUUCAGUGUGGUUUCAACCC
rnacentral:lncRNA from 1 species